AUGAAAGAGGCGAUCAGAAUGGUACCCGAAUCCAUUUACGAUCCCGAGUUUCCAGACACAUCGCACUUCCGCUCGGGUCGAGGCUGCCACUCGACCCUCAGACGGAUCAAAGAAGAGUGGGGAACCUCUCGCUGGUUUUUGGAAUUCGACAUCAGGAAGUGUUUUCACACCAUCGACCGACAUCGAUUCAUCUCAAUCUUGAAGGAAGAGAUCGACGAUUCCAAGUUCUUUUACCCCACUCAGAAAAAGUUUUCCGCCGGACGACUCGUAGGGGGUGAGAAGGGCCCUGACUCCAUCCCAAACAAUGUACUACUAUCGGCCCUACCAGGCAAUAUCUACCUACACAAGCUCGAUCAGGAGAUAGGGAGGAUCCGGCAGAAGCACGAAAUUCCUCUUGUAGUGAAAAUAAGAUCGGUUCUAUUAAGAAUAGGUCGUCGUAUUGAUGACCAAGAAAAGUAUGGAAAAGAAGCAAGCUUCAACGCUCCCCAAGACAACAGAGCCCUCAUAGUGGGGAGGGUAAAGAGCAUCCAACGCAAAGUGACCUUUCAUUCCCUUGUUUCGUCGUGGCACACCCCCCCACAAGCACCCCCAGGCGAAGGGGAGACCAGAAAACGCCUUUCGUUUUCCCCCCUUCGGCGGCCCUAG
rnacentral:rRNA from 1 species